CUAUCAAAUCUUACUUUAUAUAAUAGUAAGAUUCUUUUACAAAUUUUUCAAAAAGUAAAUAGUAAAAAUCUUCAAAAGUCUUGGCGUCUGGACAGAAAUCUUCAAUCAAAAAUAUUCUUUUUCUAGAGACUUCUUGUCUUUUUUCCAGCUGUCUGAUUUAUUCUUUACACCUGUCUGAAAAAUCUCUUAUCUUGUUGCAUAAUUGUGUCUGCCAAUACUGUCUAAAGAAUCUCCUCCGUCAGUAAAAUCUUCUGGAUUAUCUUCUGAAUUAUUGUCUUUGGAGUCAUCUAAAUCUCUGUCUUGUUCAAUUUUCUUUUUUCCCUUAUUUUUCUUUUUAAUUUGUAAUUUCUUUUUCUUAGUAGUACUUUGUUUAACUUGUUGCUGAAUUUCUUCAAUCUUUUCAAACAUCUCUUUAAUCUUUCUGAUAUCUGAUUGAGAAAUUUGGUCUGGAUCUUGAGC
rnacentral:lncRNA from 1 species